CGCGCGGAGGCCACACGCCACUCCGACACAACUCUUCAGCCGCCGGCAGCAGGACUCCGAAGCCGAGAGUACAAGUACCAACCCGGGGAAGCGCAGCUCCGCGCUCGGUCUUUGCCCGUUAUCCGUUAGCUCUCUGGAAUACUGCAGAGCAGCAGCUCAGCACGGAAGAGGUUGGUAGUAAACUCUCUGGAGUUUGAUCAGAGUCGCUUUGUGCCGUUGCGCUUGUGGAACUGAAGUGAACCGAUCUUGGACAUCCAGAACCGGGACGCGUCCCUGCCGUUCCGCGGGAGACCCGAGACUGUCGGAUUUCUUACUAGAGAACUUUACACAGAUAUGGCUCUCUUGAUCUAGAAGAAGCAAACCCUUAAUCUAUCUUCAUCACAGUGAUCAAGCGAGACCCCAGCUCAAUCCUCUAAUCCAGCAUCCACCGGUCCUCCUGAGGAGACAUCAUGGAGUGGCGUUUGGUCUCGCUGGCGUUGUGCAUAUGUGUGUGCGCCAUGUUCAGCCCAAGUCUCUGCACUCCCUCUGGCCCGGCCUCUGCCACCUGUGCCACCCUGGAGCAGAGCCGAUUCUUUGGCGUGUUCUCCUCCAAGACGGCCCUACCCUCGUCUCCAUGCUCUUGGACCCUGCAGAACCCAGAUCCUCGCCGAUACACCGUCUACAUGAAGAUCACCAAACCCACAGAGUCCUGCACUCCUCGCCAGAUCCGCACCUUCCAGUUCGACUCCUUCCUGGAGACCUCGCGCACCUACCUAGGUAUGGAGAGCUUCGAUGAAGUGGUCCGGCUGUGUGACGCCUCUUCCUCGGUGGCCUACCUGGAGUCCAGCAAACAGUUCCUGCAGGUGCGCAAGGUGACGCCACGUCUGGGUCUGGAGCACGCGGAAGAAGAGGAGGGCAAUGAUGAAGGCAGCCAGUUCAACGCUGAGUUUCUGGUGGUGGGCAAGAGGAACCCCAGUAUGCCCGCUUGUGAAAUGCUGUGCCAGUGGUUAGGAGACUGCCUCGCCACCAGCACCCACGGAAACCCCUGCGGCAUCAUGGCCACACCCUGCCAGUGCUGGGAGCCACCCAAGAAGAAGACGACUGGCUGCUACAGAGGUGGAGUCUACACGGAGAAGUGCUCACCUGCUGCUAGAGACAGCAACCGCGACGCUGAAAUCAUGAAAGGCUGGAGCGGGUGGGGCCGCUGGUCUGAGUGCAGUAGCGAGUGUGGUGGUGGAGUGCAGGUGCGCAGCCGCGCAUGCCAACCUGAAGAUGGCAUCUGUGAGGGCGUGGUGGAGGAGGGACGAGCCUGCAACCCUCAGCCCUGCAUCGGUCAAGUCCGGCAGAAAAGCCAAGGUCUGCGCUCCAUCAUCGGCCAGCGGCGUGACUCUGACGGCACCCUCAUGGCUAACCAGGCCCCUCAGAAAGAAGAGGCGCAGCAGGACACGUGGUCCUCCUGGAGUGUGUGUUCUGUGAGCUGCGGUGAGGGCUGGCAGUCUCGCACCCGCUCCUGCAUGAACUCCGCUCAGUGUAUCGGCCCUUUAAGAGAGAACCGACCCUGCAACAACACCGCCGUCUGCCCAGUAAACGGAGCCUGGGAUGAAUGGGCACCCUGGAGCCUGUGCUCCUCCACGUGUGGCCGUGGGUACCGGGAUCGAGUCCGCACCUGCAAACAACCUAAGAACGGUGGAGAACCCUGCCGAGGACCCUUCAAACAGACCAAGUUCUGCAACAUUGCCGUGUGCCCAGUUGAUGGAUUCUGGAACGACUGGUCUGCGUGGACCCCUUGCUCAUCCUCCUGUUCCAAUGGGACGACUCAGAGAACCCGCGAGUGUAACGGACCCUCAUACGGCGGCUCCGAGUGCAGAGGGGAAUGGCUGGAGACCAAAAACUGCUUCCUCAGAGACUGCCCUGUGGACGGCCGCUGGCUGCUGUGGAGCUCCUGGGGUGCCUGCAGUAAGUCCUGCGGUGGCGGGCAGCAGCUCAGGCAGAGAGUGUGUGAAGGGCCGUUCUUUGGUGGACAAUCCUGCAAUGGAGAUAAAGCAGAGAUGAGGAACUGCAACGAGAAGCGCUGCCCAGAACCACACGAGAUCUGCGGAGAGGAGAACUACGGCAGCAUGGUGUGGAAGAAAACUCCGGCUGGAGACACGGCUGCACUGCCCUGCCCUGCUGACGCCACAGGCCUGAUCCUCCGCAGAUGCACACUGGACGCUGUGGGUCUGGCCUUCUGGGAAAACCCCACUCACAUCAAAUGCGUCUCUAAAGACUUCCAGGAGAUCCAGAGCUUGAUGCGUAAUGAUGUGGAUCAGUCUCAGCUGGUGGAGGGUGUGUCGGCGGUUCUGUCCCGCCUCAGGGUGGCGUCGGCGGGCAGCACACGCUACAGCGGAGACCUGCUGACGGUGAUGGAGAUCCUGAAGAACAGCACCGGGAUCUUCAGAGGAUCCAAGAUGAGCCUGAGCAACGCUGAUGUGGAGAACUACGCACACACCAUCAGCAACCUCCUGCAGGACACACACCGAGAGAAAUGGGACGAAGCUCAGCUGAUGGGAGCAAACAUCAAGCAGUUCUUCAGUCUGGUGGAAAACUUCAUCGACAUGAUCGGCCGCCAGAUGAGGGACUUCCAGGACAUCUACGAGGUGACGGAGAAUCUGGAGCUCAGUAUCCAGAAGCGUCCGCGCACCAUCAGCUCAGACGUCAGUUUCCCGCUGAAGGGCUGGCGAGGGAUGAUCGACUGGGUGCGCAACUCUGAAGAGAAGGUCACAGUGUCACGCAACGCCCUGAGCCUGGACGUGCCAGAUGCUGAGCAGAGCACCGGCUUCGUCACCGGCAUCGUUCUCUACAGAAAUCUGGGGCCCAUCCUGUCCUUACAGAGCAACAGCACGCUCCUGAACUCUAAGGUGGUCACGGUGACGGUGAAGCCUAACCCAGGGUUCCUCUCCGCUCCGGUGGAGAUCGAGUUUCCUCACCUGCACAACGGCACCGUCAACGAGACCUGCAUCGCCUGGGACGAGAGCGAGAGCUCGUCUCUGCUGGGCUCGUGGUCCGCGCGCGGCUGCAGAUCAGUGUCUCGCGACUCCAGCACAGUGUGUGUGUGUGACGGACUGACCACCUUCGCCCUGAUCGCGAGACCGACCCCGAUCCGGUGAAACAUGGACAGGUCUCUGUUGCCGUCGGUUACGAUGAUCGUGGGAUGCGGGGUGUCGUCGCUCACCCUCCUCCUCCUCAUCAUCAUCUACGUCUCGGUCUGGAAGUACAUCCGCUCUGAGCGAUCCGUUAUCCUGAUCAACUUCUGCCUGUCCAUCAUCUGCUCCAACGCGCUCAUUCUGAUUGGCCAGACUCAAGCGCGCAACAAGGUGAUGUGCACUCUGGUGGCGGCGCUCCUGCACUUCUUCUUCUUGUCCUCCUUCUGCUGGGUGCUGACUGAGGCCUGGCAGUCCUACAUGGCCGUCACGGGGCGCCUGCGCAACCGCAUCAUCCGCAAGCGCUUCCUCUGCCUGGGCUGGGGGCUGCCGGCACUGGUGGUGGCCAUCUCUGUGGGGUUCACUAAAGCUAAAGGCUAUGGAACCGUCAACUACUGCUGGUUGUCUCUGGAGGGCGGGCUGCUGUACUCGUUUGUGGGUCCAGCAGCGGCUGUUGUUCUGGUCAACAUGGUGAUUGGUAUUCUGGUUUUCAACAAGCUUGUGUCAAAGGACGGCAUCACUGAUGUCAAGCUGAAAGAGAGAGCAGGGGCGUCUCUGUGGAGCUCCUGUGUGGUUCUGCCUCUGCUGGCGCUGACCUGGAUGUCUGCAGUGUUGGCCAUGACGGACCGCCGCUCUGCACUCUUCCAGAUCCUCUUCGCUGUCUUCGACUCUCUGGAGGGCUUCAUCAUCGUGAUGGUGCACUGCAUCCUGCGCAGGGAGGUUCAGGAGGCGGUCAAAUGCAGAGUUGUGGACCGCAAGGAUGAUGGGAACGGAGACUCUGGCAGCUCUCUGCAGAACGGCCACACGCAGCUCAUGUCUGACUUUGAGAAGGAUGGCGACUCAAACCGACCAGGUGGAAUGAAGAGCUCCUCUGAGGAGAAGAUGCCCCCUCCACAGAUGCCCCUGCCCCUCGGCCCAAACUUCCACACGCUGCCCAACCCCAGUGGGAAGAGCCACAUUCCCCCAGUGCCGGAAUACUCCAGCCACACACUGACCCUGCGCAGAGAGAAGGGCCGCGACCCAUCCUGUGGGAAACCAGUGUAUGUGUGUGACAGCGAGCUCUUCAAGCAGCUGGAUGCGGAUCUGGCUCGUGCUCAGGCAGAGAGUGUGUGUGCGGACGGCAGCGGGUACGUGCUCCUGCCCAACACCACCUCCACGCUCCGCGCCAAGCCCAAAGACGACUCCAGUGGCUCCAGCAAGUACAACAUCAGCACCGACCUUCCGCAGGCACGCCUCAUGCACAUUAGCGGAACCUACGCCGAGCCGCAAGCUGCCUACGCCACGCAGACGCUGCCCGCUGACCGCGUCAGUGUGUCCUACUCAGAGCGGGACUCACCCAUCCAGAACAUCCACAACAUCUCCAGCGAGAGCCACAUGACCAGCAGCCUGGGUGACACCUUCGACUCCAUGAACUCCAUGAUGUCCAAGAGUGAGACCAUCUCCACACUGUCCAUGAGCUCCCUGGAGGUCAGCGAAGGGAGGCAGAAAUCUCGCUAUGCAGAACUGGACUUUGAGAAAAUCAUGCACACACGAAAGCGUCACCAGAACAUGUUUCAGGAUCUGAACAGGAAAGUCCACCAUGCUGAAAAGGACAGGGAGUCUCCAGCCUCUGACAGCAAGUCCGUCAGGUGGAGCGUUUCCUCCGCUGGCAGCGACAAGACCAACCACAGCGAUAAGCAGCCGGGGGCCAUGGACCGAUCCUGGGAGAGCAUGAGCAGGUCGCAGGCAUCUCCGCCUGCAUGGGUACGCAAGGACCUGGAGCCGCUGCAGGCCUCGCCGCUGGACCUGCAGGCGGUGGAGUGGGAGAAAGCAGGAGCCAGCAUCCCGCUCGUGGGCCAGGACAUCAUCGACCUCCAGACAGAGGUGUGAGGGCGCAACACCAACGCUGAACACCUCGGUCUGCUUUUAUUUGGGAAAGAGAGCGGAAAUGAAGGUAUGAGCCUGUGGAGGCAGAGAGCGAGCCUGUAGCGUCUGUCAUUGAACACGCGUGUGUCCGGCUUCAGAAGCAGCUCUCGGCUCAACAUGACUCUGACCUCAGCCAUCAGAAGCGGAGAACGGGUUUCAGAGAGAUUCUGGCCGGUUCAUCGAGAGCUUCUCCCAAUACUCUUCCAUUGGUCCAGGAGGUGCCUGUGAUCGCUCAUUUUUCCGCAAGUCCAUGUUGUGAUGGGCGAAUCUUCCCACAGGAGGGUCGAGUGCAGGAGUUGCAGCUCCUUCCGGAGCGGAUCUCCCACAAUCCUCGCUGCGUCAGACGGACACAGAAACACUGCCGUCCUGUCGUCUCUGUUUCUAGCGCUUUGCCUGAAGCAUUUCUGGACGCUUCCAACAAACUUUGGGGAAAUAUAUGUAAUGAAACUUGAAGAAACGUUGAGAGCUGAGCAUCAGUUUCCAUCACUCCUCUGUUAUUAUUGCGAGACCUUUAUGUUACUCGUUGGUUCUACUGAUCAUGUUAUGAUUUGAAGUUUCUCCUGUUGUCUGCACAUUUGUGUUCAUCGAGAUUUAUUUAUGAAGUCAUUCCCAAAAGCAGCAGCAGCAGCAAGAUGGAGUACCCCUGCAGAGCAUUAUGGGUAAUGUAGGCGGAGCAGCAGUGACUGUGUAGCCUUGGACUCUUUGAGGACGAGCUGUUGUUUCUCCUCAUCUCCACCGGAUCAGACCACUGUGUUCCCCGUUUCCCACCGCAGCUCUUUUACGGCCUUGUGAACGAAACCCCAGCACAUGUUACGGGCUCCGGCCCGCCUGUGAACUUCCGCUCUGUCCGCGGGAGAGACUCCCAGUGCAGUAGAGAUGCCUGGACUGGACUGGCAUCAGUGCAAUAUGAGGACAGAUGCUUGAUGCCCAAGCAGGACUGGCGUUAGAAUCUUGAUUUUUGUUAACCAUUUUCAGAGUUUUAUAUAUCUAGUCUUUAUAGAGCAUUUAGAAACCUUUAACACUGUUCACAGACUAUAUUAGAUAUUAAACGAAGGACGACACAAGACGUGUGUUUUGCUGCUAAAAGAGGAAGGAAAAGCACGUCGUCCACACAGAGUAAUAGCCUAGAGAUAUAUUUGACUGUGCUUCAGGAAAGCAUUAUAGAUUUUUUACUUGAUUCCUCCAUGCUGAGACACUGAACCUUUGGGCGUCUGUACGGCCACCAACCUGUGCGUCUCUCUCUGUACGUGACGAUAUCCUUCCUCGCGUUUCUGCGUUUGCGGGAGGUUCCUGAUGUCUGUCUGAAUCUGUGUGUAUUUCACCUCCUGCUGUGAAUGUACAUGUUUGAAGAAUAACAGGUUAAAGUGUCUCUUUGGAAUAAAAUAAAACAAAUUAAAAUGACA